ACGAACGCUGGCGGCGUGCUUAACCCAUGCCAGUCGAACGAUGAAGAAAAGAAUCGAAGCUUCGGCAGAAAUUCAUUUCGGAUUAGUGGCAGACGGGUGAGUAACGCGUGAGCAACCUACCUCUUACAAAGGGAUAGCCUCGGGAAACCGGGAUUAAUACCAUAUAACAUUGUGACGAAGCAUUUCGAUGCAAUCAAAGCUACGGCGGUAAGGGAUGGGCUCGCGUCCCAUUAACCGGAUGGUGAGGUAACGGCUCACCAUAGGGACGAUGGGUAACCGGCCUGAGAGGGUGAACGGUCACACUGGAACUGAGGCACGGUCCAGACUCCUACGGGAGGCAGCAGUGGGGAAUAUUGCACAAUGGAGGGAACUCUGAUGCAGCGACGCCGCGUGAGUGAUGAAGGAAUUCGUUUCGUAAAACUCUGUUCUAUGGGAAGAAAAGGACUGUACCAUAGGAGAAAGCUCCGGCUAAAUACGUG
rnacentral:rRNA from 1 species